AACGAACGCUGGCGGCAUGCCUAACACAUGCAAGUCGAACGAGACCUUCGGGUCUAGUGGCGCACGGGUGCGUAACGCGUGGGAACCUGCCCUUAGGUUCGGAAUAACUCCCCGAAAGGGGUGCUAAUACCGGAUAAUGUCUUCGGACCAACGAUUUAUCGCCUUUGGAUGGGCCCGCGUUGGAUUAGCUAGUUGGUAGGGUAAAAGCCUACCAAGGCGACGAUCGGUAGCUGGUCUGAGAGGAUGAUCGGCCACACUGGGACUGAGAUACGGCCCAGACUACUCCGGGAGGCAGCAGAGGGGAAGAUUGCACAAUGGGCGGAAGCAUGAUGCAGUAAAGCCGCGUGCGGGAUGACGGCAUUCGGGUUGUAAACCGAUUUCGCCUGUGACGAAGCGUGAGUGACGGUAAUGGGUAAAGAAGCACCGGCUAACUACGUG
rnacentral:rRNA from 1 species